AUUAGUUAUGUUCUUUAAACCCAAAGAAUUUGGCGGUGUUUUAGUCUAUUUAGAGGNAUUUGCCCCUUAAUCGAUAAUCCUCGUUUUAUCUUUCUUAACUUUGUUUUCAGUAAGUAUACCGCCGUUAUAAGUUUAUUUUUUUAGAAUGUUAAUUUACUAUAAAAAUUAUUUUUUUAUAUUUCNNNNCAAGGUGCAGA
rnacentral:rRNA from 1 species